rnacentral:lncRNA from 1 species
CUUCCAUCUGGUGCUUCUUUGUAAACAGGUGGAAACCAGGUGAGCAUCAUCACAGGUUGUAUAGUCUGAGGGUUUUCUGUUCCAAUGUGAUAAAAACACAUUUGUUUUUAUCACAGCAGCUAAAUCACACAGACAAAUAUAUUCAAGGAUAUUCACUGAACAUGUGGCGUAUUUAAUAAUGAAUGGUGUCCACAUCAGCUGUGAAAACAUUGUGCCAAGACUUGUGAUGUGAUCUUUACUUUUCUUUACUUCCACACUGAAUAUUCAGCAUUAUUUCACAUCAGUAACAGUUUGGCUGUGGAAGAAGAAACGCCUUGUUUCAGCUCAGUGUCUUCUCUUUGUCUCACAGGACACUCACAGAUCAACGACCAACAACUCCAAUACCCAGAAGUCCUCUGUGGUGACGUCACUAACAGUGUGAAGAGGUAGAGACAACCCCCAGACUCCCUUAUGAAAUCUCUCCAUUUAGUGAGUUUCUGAGUCAGGAGACACUUUCUAACCUCCUGAAACGCUGUUUGUGAUGAUUCUUCAUUAUUUGGACCUUCUUGUAAAUUCGGCAUGUGUUAGCUCGUUGUGGGUCGUGCUGCAGCCCCCUCAGUCUAACAGGAAGACUCCCAGUCAGUCACACGCCUCUCUGGCUGUUUCCUCCUCACAGUUUACUUUCACUUUCUCUGACAGGUGUGUCGCAGAUAGUUUUCUCCGUCUGAACCUCCAGCUGAAGAUGAAAGUGUGUGUGAGAUGAGCAGCAUGAAUCAGUGUGAGGACAGAGAGGAGGGAGGCCCUCCCUCUAAAACCACUGGACCUGGACCUGGACCUGGACCUGAGCCUGGACCUGGACCUGGACCUGGACCUGGACCCAGCUGUGUGUCCUUCAAGAGUGACGACUCAAUGGAUCGUUACAUUGAAUUUAAAGAACAACCAGCUCGUGCUGUAAAGAGCUGGCGUCACCUUUACUUUGAAAGUCCAGUGGAGCUGGAUCAGAACAUUUGUACGGAGGGAGAGAUCGCGCUGAUCCGCUGCUGGUUACUUUCUCUCUGAGCGUCUCUACAGAUGUUCAGCUGAGGGGAAACGCUGCUCAGCUGAUGAUCCGACUCGCAUCAGGAGGUCAUUUAUUAGGCUGUAGCCUGUUUACUUUAUAUACAGUCAGUCACCACUGAAAGAAGUUGUGCGCUCGCAGCAGGACAGAUAAUUUAACUUAAUGUGGCC